rnacentral:rRNA from 1 species
AUGAAUAUUGCCCUACUGACUUGGUGGCUCUGGAGGAUUAACAACGGAGAUGGUGGCCUGUGGCUGCGCAUUAUUCAGCAGAAAUACCUCUGCGGACAGCCACUCGCCUUCUGUCAGCGCUCUGGGGGCUCCCAGUUCUGGCAAUCCAUCAUUCAGCUCCUCCCUGUCCUCCGGAUCGGGACCUCGAUCGAGAUUGGGUCCGGCACCACCACGUUGUUCAGGUUUGAUCGCUGGACUGGGGACUCACCCCUGGCGUCCCGCUUUCCGGACAUGUUCUCCAUCGCGGUGGCCCCCCAGAUCUCCGAGGCGAACGCCCUUAUUGACCUAGGGCGCCUUGCGUUCCGAAGGCCUUUUGGUCCUGCUGAGAAUGCGGACUGGCAGGAGUUGCUUGACUGUGUUGCUCUCCAUGAGCCGGAUCUCACGUCUGACGCUGACCGUGCCAGGUGGCGCCUAGAGCCGUUCGGUCAAUUCUCCACCAAAUCUCUCUAUCCGGCCAUCGCCCCCUCGCUCAGUCAUGAGGCUCUCUCCUCCAUUUGGGAGAUUCGCCUCCCAUUGAAAAUUAGGAUCUUCCUGUGGCAGUGGAUUCGCGGCCGCCUACCUUCUGGCGUUGAGGUUCUGAAGCGCAAUGGCCCUGGUGAUGGGCGUUGCCCGUUCUGUGGGCCUGAAGAAGAUUUGAACCAUAUCUUCUUCACCUGCGUGUCUGCGCAGUUCCUUUGGAGCUGUUUCCGCGAGAUUGUGGGUGAAAGCUAG